rnacentral:lncRNA from 1 species
CUUUUGCAAGUCUGAGUUCAUGGUAGCCAACAUGAGACAACACACAUCGACCCUAUCAUUGACAUGCUUAUCAUAAGCAUUUCUCUCUGCAUGUGGAAGAUUUGCCUUAGGCUUCUCAAGCGGCAAAUUCUUUUCAAGGACAUAUUCCUUUUUCUCCUGCUUGAGAACAAUUCUCAAGUUUCGAUACCACUCGAGGAAAUUCGAUCCAUUCAGCUUGUCCUUCUCAAGGACGGAUCAAAGUGAAAAUGAACUGUGAGGGUUUG